GUGAUCGGAGUAAUCGAGAGAGACGGCGAGAGAGAAGAGAGGAUCGGAGAAGAGAAGAGAGCCAUAUAUACAUAGGCACCGUAGAAAAGAGAGAAAAAUCAGAGGGAGACUAAGAGAGGUCCAUUUUCGGCGUCCCGAUUAUGCCAGAGUUUCCGCGAUAAAUCAAGCGCGGAUUCUGACCAAAAAAAUAACGCAAACGGGUCUGGGUCUUCCUCAAUUUUGAUUAUGGUUCUGGUUGGCAAAAUAGUAGAGUUGAUCGAGGUUGGAAAUUAGUCCGUAUUGGGGUUCGAUUGAGGUUUUCGGAUGCGGUUUCGACUUUUGGUCACAUAAUUUGGCAUAAUAAAAGCUUCAAUUGAGGGAAUGCCCUGUCGUAUCAUGUUGGCGGAAGAUGGUCUUGAUGAAGGCCUGCGGCGUCGGGUAAAACAUUGGAGCAUAGUUUAGGAUUAAUCUAGAAUAGGAUUUAUCUUUUCGUAUUUUUUAUUUUUGGAUUGUAUAACUCAAACUGGACACUAUAUUUUUAUUCGUUUUGUUUUGUUUGUU